rnacentral:rRNA from 1 species
GACGUAGGGCGCAAGCGUUGUCCGGAAUUAUUGGGCGUAAAGAGCUCGUAGGUGGCUUGUCGCGUCUGCCGUGAAAGCCCAUGGCUUAACUGUGGGCGUGCGGUCGAUACGGGCAUCACUGGAGUUCGGCAGGGGAGACUGGAAUUCCGUGGUGUAGCGGUGAAAUGCGCAGAUAUCAGGAGGAACACCGGUGGCGGAAGGCGGGUCUCUGGGCCGAUGACUGACGCUGGAGGAGCGAAAGCGUGGGGAGCAAACAGG